rnacentral:rRNA from 1 species
GUCGAACGCACAGCCAGGUGCUUGCACCUUUCAAGUGAGUGGCGAACGGGUGAGUAACACGUGGACAACCUGCCUCAAGGCUGGGGAUAACAUUUGGAAACAGAUGCUAAUACCGAAUAAAACUUAGUGUCGCAUGACACAAAGUUAAAAGGCGCUUCGGCGUCACCUAGAGAUGGAUCCGCGGUGCAUUAGUUAGUUGGUGGGGUAAAGGCCUACCAAGACAAUGAUGCAUAGCCGAGUUGAGAGACUGAUCGGCCACAUUGGGACUGAGACACGGCCCAAACUCCUACGGGAGGCUGCAGUAGGGAAUCUUCCACAAUGGGCGAAAGCCUGAUGGAGCAACGCCGCGUGUGUGAUGAAGGCUUUCGGGUCGUAAAGCACUGUUGUAUGGGAAGAACAGCUAGAAUAGGAAAUGAUUUUAGUUUGACGGUACCAUACCAGAAAGGGACGGCUAAAUACGUGCCAGCAGCCGCGGUAAUACGUAUGUCCCGAGCGUUAUCCGGAUUUAUUGGGCGUAAAGCGAGCGCAGACGGUUUAUUAAGUCUGAUGUGAAAGCCCGGAGCUCAACUCCGGAAUGGCAUUGGAAACUGGUUAACUUGAGUGCAGUAGAGGUAAGUGGAACUCCAUGUGUAGCGGUGGAAUGCGUAGAUAUAUGGAAGAACACCAGUGGCGAAGGCGGCUUACUGGACUGCAACUGACGUUGAGGCUCGAAAGUGUGGGUAGCAAACAGGAUUAGAUACCCUGGUAGUCCACACCGUAAACGAUGAACACUAGGUGUUAGGAGGUUUCCGCCUCUUAGUGCCGAAGCUAACGCAUUAAGUGUUCCGCCUGGGGAGUACGACCGCAAGGUUGAAACUCAAAGGAAUUGACGGGGACCCGCACAAGCGGUGGAGCAUGUGGUUUAAUUCGAAGCAACGCGAAGAACCUUACCAGGUCUUGACAUCCUUUGAAGCUUUUAGAGAUAGAAGUGUUCUCUUCGGAGACAAAGUGACAGGUGGUGCAUGGUCGUCGUCA